AUUCCUGGAGUUAGGCCUUCAACCAAAGAGCUGGGCCAUCCGUGGCAAUGCCUCCCAGGCUUGGGAGCUGGGAAAAGGCCCCAGGAGCUAGGGCAUCCUGAUUGUUCUUUCAAAGAAAUCCCUCUUGUUCUUAGUCAACAUGCUGGAUACCAGCUAAAAAAUGCAAAAUGAUCUUCAGGCAGGGAUGGCACAGGACCCUUGCUGAGCUGUGAAGCCUGGCUGUGAGGAUUCCUGCAUGGAAACAUCAACAUGUUGCCAGAUUGGUAUACGACUCAACACCACACUGUUUGAUUGGAGUUGAGCUGAUCUUGUCUGAACCUAGCUGGGCCUGGUCCGGGGCGGCAAAUUAGAUUCAGACAUGCUGCUCCCAAACAGUGCCUUUGAAUCAAGACCCAGUCAUCGUAUUCGAAGAAAAAGGAAAUAUCCCUGACCAUGUUGGGACUUAACACUGCUUCACAGAGAUCUUCAGUAAAAUCUACAAUGCUACAAUGCUUUGGUAGGAGUGGGCCCUUCCAGAUGAAGGAGAAGUUCUUCAGGUUUGGCCAGGGACAAGGCCGAGGCCAUGGCAGAUGACAGCUGGCACUCCAUGGAGUUCCUGGUGACUAAUGCCAUCCACAAGAUCUGAAGGUGUUGUGUAACCUAGACCUGGCCCUUCUCUCAGUGCAUCCCCCUCUCCAGAGUGACCAACUCAGAGAGGUCAUGUGCUUAAGGAGAAGUUGACUGUCUGCAACCUGGAAGCAAGCCCUCACCAGAAGCUGACCAUGCUUGCACCCUGGUCUCAAACUUCCAGCCUCCAAAACUGUGAGAAUAAAUAUCUGUUGUUUGAAAGCCACCCAGAGUACCAUAGUACUCUGUUACAGCAGCUCAAACUGACUGAGACCCUCUUUAACAAUGACAAUAAAACUAAGAAUGGCUAAAAUGUACUGAGUGCUGACUAGAUUGGACACCGGCAGUGCCACACACACCACAUAAAUGAUGUCACCUGAUUGUCAAAACAGAUCUAGGGAGGAAAAUUCUAGAGACAUGAAAACUGCAGCUUGGUUCUCAGGAAGGAAGUGCAGAAGUCGUCAGGUCUUUCUGCCCUUAAAAUCAGAGCUCUCAACCCCCAUGGCAUUCUGCUGGCAAAGUUCUCUAAACUAAAGAGGCUUCAUGAGAGAUGCUUAGCAGGAGCCAGGAGAGCAGCCUAAUCCCACAGGGAGGACAUGCAAGCCUGCUGGAAGGCUGAGGGGUUCAGGGAAGGCUGCCUCGGCCCUCCUUCGGGCCACACGUUCCCGACCUGGAUUAUUUCCUAAAAUGGUUUCAUUUUACAAAUGAGCAUGAGGCUCCGCUGGAAGCAGCCAACAUUGGCAGAGAUUAAAUAAUUAGCAUUUCAAAGUGUUCGUUUUCAUUUUCCUCUUUGCCAGGGUGAGAACCACUACAGGACAAAAAUGAGCUCCUUUUUUCCAGUCUCAGCCCAGGAGGGAUCUUCACAGAGAAAGCAAGCCCAGCCCAUCCCCACAGCUGGCUCCCUGGUGCCCAUUCUGAAAGGCUGGACCCAUCCUGACCUGUCCCUGCCCCAAGGACUGCCUGGUGAGGGAUGGCUUACCAACACUGUGACUCAGUCCUUCCAACAUGCCCAACAGGUCAAUUCUGGGAUAUUCCUUACAGGAAUUAAUGAGAGCACAUUGCCGGUAAUGUUGGCAUUAGUAGAUUACAUUUAAAUUUAAAAAUUCCUUUUAUGGGGUUUAAGAAUAGAGACAAGACACCCAUGCAAUAAAGAAAGGAGGAGACUUUGCCUGGUCUAAUGGAGAAGCUGGAGCUGCAUUGUUGGGUACAGUGGCCAGUGGCUACACCUGGCUUUUGAGCCCUUGCACAGUGGCAAGGACACAUUGAGAUGUGCCCUAGGUGCAAGAUACACACAGGAUUUCAAAGACUGAGUAUGAAAAAAGAAGAAAAAAUGUCUCAUUAAUAUUUUUAUAUUGGUUGCAUGUGGAAGUGAUAACAUUUUGGAUAUAAAGUUGACCUUUGAACAGUAUGGGUUUGAACUGCACAGGUCUGCUUAUAAGUGAAAUUUCUUCUGCCUCUGCCACCCCUGAGACAGCAAGACCAACCCUCCACUUCCUCCUCCUCCUCCUCCUCCUCAACCUGCUCAACGUGAAGAUGAUGAAGAUCAAGACCUUCAUGAUGAUCUACUUCCACUUAAUGAAUAGUAAAUAUAUUUUCUCUUCCUUGUGAUUUUCUUAAUAACGUUUUCUUUCCUCUAGCUUAUUUUGUUGUAAGGAUACAGUGGUAUAUAAUAUUUAUAACAUACAAAAUAUGUGUUAACCAACUCUGCUAUCAGUAAGGCUUCUGAUCAACAGUAUGCUAACAUUUUUGGACAGUAGUUAAGUUUGGGCAGAGUCAAAAGUUAUAGGCAGAUUCUUGAUUGUGUGGGGUAUUGGCAUCCCUAAUCUCUGCACUGUUCAAGGGUAAACUGCAUUAGCUGAAAUAAAGCAUAUUCUUAAAAUGAA
rnacentral:lncRNA from 1 species